AAAACGACAGCGUAACUCCAGCAUGUUCAGACUAACCUGUGGGUGUGAAGCUGGAUUGCUAUGGAAAAGCAACAUUAAAAACAAACACGCUAAAUAUAGGCUAUAGGAUAGGACACAUUGCAUCAUUUUAGUGUUAUCUUUAUCAUCAUGAUUGUAAUUAGACCCCUGGGAAUUAGACUACCGUCAUAUUAUAGCAAAUUCGAGGGGAUUCGAGGCCUGACGUUGAUAAAGACGGCGUCUUCCUUUUUUAGUCGCGCUCGCAGCUCGAAGCUGGACGAGAGGUCGCUAGUUAUAUCGUUGGUGAAAGCGCAGGCAUCUGAAAUCUGAUCACCGGAAUAUAUAAGCUACCGUAUACGCUUGGCUGUGCUUUGAUAGCAAGCUCGAAUGCAUUGACGACCGUGGACUGGAAUUUGUAGACCACCAAGAUGUCCGCCGUCCAUAUAACUAUGCAGUAUACUUUCAUUGUAAUACUUCUAGGAGCGUGUACUCUCUCACUCUUUGCUGGUGCACAGAAUAGCAUAACAUCCGACAGCGAUGCAGUCCCGUGGUCAGUUCGUCUGGUUGGUGGUAUCUACGAAUCCGAAGGCAGGGUUGAAGUUUUCCAAGACAGCCAAUGGGUGACAAUAUGCGAUAGUCUUUGGAGUAUUGAAGAAGCGACUGUUGUCUGUCGUCAGCUGAAUUACAGUGGAGCUGACCUGGCAUUGGUGGCAGGGCUGUUCGUCGGAGGUCAAGGAGCCGUGGGGCUGACGAACAUGAAAUGUAACGGAAUGGAAAGCAACCUCUCAACCUGUAAAUACGAUCUUGUGGAAGAUACAAGGUGUGGGCAUUCCAGAGAUGCUGGUGUCGUCUGCACGAGUCAGGGAAGUCUUCGUCUAGCAAACGGAACCGUUCCUGGAGAAGGUCGUGUUGAAAUUCUUGGAGGAUCUGGAGAAUGGGGAACAAUAUGUGACGAUUUGUGGGAUAAGAUUGACGCAGGAGUGGCGUGUAGGCAGCUAGGGUAUCCAGAUGCUUUAGACGCCUUGGUAAAUCGGAACUAUCCCAACUCUCAGCCGUACUUUGGUCCUGGAACUGGUCCUAUUCUUCUUGACGGACUUUCCUGUACUAGCGACAAGCGGCAUUUGAGAGACUGCAGUGUAACCAAAGGCUGGGGGACCCACGACUGUGGACAUGGGGAAGACGCGGGUAUGGAAUGCGACACCAAACUUACACGACUUGUAGAUGGAGAUUACGAUGAUGAAGGUCGGAUCGAGGUUUACUAUGGGGGUAGGUGGGGAAGAAUAUGCCCUACCGAAUGGUCCGUUGAGGAUGCCCACGUUGCCUGCAGAGAAUUAGGAUACCCCCUUGGAGCUAGGAACACAAAGCUUUUUGAUGGGGGCGAUGGACCGUUUCUAAUGGACGAUAUGCAAUGUGAAGGGAAUGAGACCCGAUUGACUGACUGCGUAUUCCCUGGUUUCGCCAACGUACAAUACUGUGCUGAAGACCACACGCACGGAGCAGGCGUUAUCUGCAAUAAGCCUUCAGCUGUUGUAAAACUCCUGAGCGGAUCCGGUAGUUUCGAAGGCGUCGUUGAAUACCGAGCUGAAUCUGAGCCUGGCCUGAUUUGCGAUUCGGAUUGGAGUGAUAAAGAAGCGGAUGUUCUCUGUCGACAAUUAGGAUACCAGCAUGGAUCCAAUGAAAAGCCUGUUUCUCUUGGUCCAUUAUCUGGGACCAUCUAUUACCAUGACUAUCAUUGCAUCGGAACAGAAGACCAGAUAGGAGAUUGUACGUUUACAGUAGUGCCCAGAGCUGACCGAUGCAACCCUGAACAUAUAGCGCAGGUUGUUUGUGGGCCACCAAUCGACUUUGACCUUCGAAUGACCGGAAACAGAUUCAGUGAGCAAGGUCGUCUUGAGGUCUUUCUCAAAGGCGAGUGGGGCUAUGUAGCUGCAGGAUACUUUUCAAGUGAUUCCCAAGAUACAGCGUGUCGCCAUCUUGGCUUUGCGGGAGCACAGUACGAUAUGUACGACAAAUUCGAAUUCGCACGGUCUUCUCGGCCGAUUCUUAUAGACGACAUAUCGUGUUCUGAUAGCGAUAUGAAGAUAACCGAUUGCUACAGACUAGAUUUGAGUGGACCCAAUUCGACCCGCCAACAAUCGCAUGAAGUCAGUGUGCUAUGUUUUCCAUAUGAAAGUGUCGCUAACCACCCGAUGAGGUUCCGAGAUGAAAAUGGAGUGGUAAACAGGAAUUAUGGAGUCAUUGAAAUAUACCAUGAUGGAGUAUGGGGUCCAAUUUGCGACGCUAGCUUUUACCAAUAUGAGAUCCUUUGUCGUCAGCUCGGGCAUACAGAUUUGUCAGAAGGAGGCACCCUAAUGAACUACGAUGGGAAGUACACAUCUGAUGGUCCAAUCUGGUUCCGUUUCUCAUUCUGCCCGUCAUACUCUUCGUCUUAUGGUGUUGAACACGAUAAGAUAUAUGAAUGCAGACAUGGUCCGUGGGGUUAUUCCGGCGAUUGCAGCAAAGCCUAUCUAGCUACCGCCAGAUGCGUGUAUGUGGACCAGACAUUAGAUUAUGACACUUCAGAUGUUAGUUAUGGCAGUAGUCUAACCGGCUGGGAGGUCCUUCUUAUCGCCGUAGCAGUAGUCGUACCGACCUGUUGUAUCAUCGGCUGCUGCUAUCACAGUCGACGCACGCCGACCAACGCCACCUCCACGGGAGCCUCCGCUGGCUUCACAGCCGCAGCUACGAAUGAUAGCCAUGUUGAUGGGGUUUGUGCGGAAUCGCAAAAUCCAUCACCGCCCUACGAACCACCAUCCCCGACCCCUGCAGAGUCUCCGCCCACCUACGAUUCAGUGGCCACGCCCAUAAUGGAUCAAAAUGGCGAUAACCCCAAUGCAGAGAGUUGAUGUAGAUGUAGGAGUGAAUCUGUGCAAACGUCAUUUGAGUGAGAGGGGGGAAAGGGAGGGGUUAAAGAAGGUCAAAUAAUACGAAGAGGAAGAACAAGAGCAAGAAGAAGAGAAGGUAGAAUAAGAAGAAGAGGAGGAGGAGGAAGACGAAGAAUAAGGAGGAAGAGAAGACGAAGAAGAGGGAGACUGGGGAAGAAGAGAGAACACACAAAACAAGAAGGGGAAGGCUAUUAAAAGAAGAAUGGGAGGAGUUAGAAAAACAAGAAAAAAAAGCGAGAAGGUGGGAUGAAGAAGAAAGAAGAAAAGUAGGAGGAGGGGAAUGAGGAGGUUGAAGGGCGGAGAAGGAGAACGAGAAGAAGAGGUAGAAAAUAAAUAAGUGGAGAAUACCCAAUCUAUACUGUAUCCCAUGUAGGGGACCUUCUUUCCAUCUUAUUUAUUAUUCUGUAAAUGUGUAACACUGAUCAAGACGUCAACAUUUUGAUAUUGUAUUUAGUGGGAUGGUGUACAAGUUAAUGUUUUUGUUAUGGUAUGAAGAUACAUUUUUGUGAAUGUAUUCAUAUAUAUAUUACCCUCCCCCAAUCCUUAUAGGGUUAAAGGACUUCUCUAAUGCAAGCAUGCCCAAUGCCAUUUCAUACCAAAGAGUAAAGAAUGUGCUCUUAACAAACCAAAUUCCUCAUUGCGUGUGUUUAGGGAAAAGCUGCAAAAAUUGUGGAAAUAUAUUGGUGAAGAUUGUUUGGUAAAAUGCGACUGAUUCUGUGUACAGUUUACACAAUGUUAGUCAUGAAACAUGUUGAUUACCUCGUUUUUUGUUGUUGUUUUUUUACCAAACAUGUUUUUAUGUUCCCUAUUCACUGAAUAUUUGGCGAAAUUGCUGAAACCCUACGCCAUAAAACAGAACAUCAACUAAGCCUUACUGUACUGAGCUAUUUAGCUCCAUGAAAAUACUGGGGGCCUCGGAGCCCCCACCCCCCCCCCCCCCCCCGAUCUCGUUGGCAAUGCACUUCGCCUGACACGUACUCUCCACAUUUUUAUUUAACUUUUUUUAUAGGUCCUUUGAUUAAUAUUAUGAUAGUUUAUGUGACAAAUCAGUCUUUAACUAAAAAUCACUUGAUAAAGCUCAAAAUUUGCUUAUUUCUGGUCUUGAUACUCUUUGUAGUAUAUUUAGCAAAUCCGACCAUUUAUUGUUCUUUAUUGUUUUUCGAGGAAAUCUGUCGGUGACAGUGUUGCGAACAUAAAUAGCAUAAGAUUAAUAAAUUUGAAAGGGUAAUAAGAAAAAAGAUUUAUACAUUCAUGGUUUUUGGCUGAAAAACUAUAUGUAUUGAAACUGAAUUCAAGUUCUUAAGUAUUUUUUGGUGGUGGGAGUUCUAACUCCAACUUCCCUGCACAACCAUAAUGUUGCGGAACUCCUGAACCACCCACCCUCAGUCCCGGACGUCGCAAAUAUGGUCUUAAAAGAUGCGGAAGAUUCGAAAAAAAGACCAAACGUUGCGGCGAAACGUUGAGGGGGCCUUCCAGCCCCCCCCCCCCUUCCCAUCAGUGCAGUAAUGGUCAAGUGCUAUAUUAUUAUUAAAUUCCAAAUUUUUGUGUACACCCUGAUAUAUCCGGAUAUAAGAGUUAUAUAUCUUGCCAUCAUGCUUGAAUUUCAUUAUGAAUUGUUCCAAAUAUUUUGUUACCCAACUGUUGUAUGGAUAUAAUGGGAAACUUCGAUUAUUUGUGAAGUGCUACUUGUCUAUUUGGAUAUAGCAGUAUAUAUAUCUUACCAUCAUACUUGAAUUUCAUUAUGAAACUAUUCCAUAUAUUUUGUUACCAAACUAUGUUGUUAGGUGUAUGCAUAUAAUAUGAAAAUUUGAUUAUUUGUGAAGUGUGACUUGUCUUGUGGAUUUGAAACGAUCUUGCAAUCCUGGGGCGAGCAAAAGACGUAAAGGGCCCUGUCCAUUGAGGAUCAUUAUAAAAUGUUGCUGGGAGAGCUGAGCAUUGUCGCAGAUUCCCCAUUAACUAGAGAUAAUCCUCCGUGGCCAGGUCAAUGGCAGAAGAUGAAUCUAUGGAAAUGGAAGGCGAUGAUAACGGCAGGCUGCUCUCGAGUCAGCGGACAGAGAUCCUGAUUGAAACUUCGAUCAAUAAGAGGGUCUUCACUCAUUGACUAGAACAUUAAGGGCCUUCAGGACAAAAGUCACUGUAGCCUUUGCUCUCAGAACCCUUGGCUUGAGUGAAGAGUUAAAUCGCCUUUAAGCUGCCUCCUUCGUUUCCGUCCAAUUGCAUAUUUAUUUUGAUCUGUUGUGCAUUUUUUUGAGGUUGCAAAUAUAUAAAAAAAAAAUUACCUUUUUACUUCUAUUUAGAAUGAUGUACGGCAAAAAUGACUUAUUGUAAUUGAUUUGAUAUCAUUAUUUCUAUUAUAAUCAUGUCAUAAUCAUAAUUUCUUCAUUAGUCACAUGGAAGUUAUGUAAUGGUGCUGAAUGUGAAGAAGGUAUAUAUAACCUUUAUAUGUUAUUCUGAUAUUCUCAUGUCUAGUUUUUUUUAUGAAAUGGAUAUGAAUU